AGGUACAGCACACGUAGGAGCUAUGUCACAUGUGCAUCAGUAGGUGGCAGACAGAGGAGAGUAGCUAUGCCUAUGCUCAGUGUCCUAACUAACCUAUUACACCUGAGUAACUAGUUUAACAUU
rnacentral:snoRNA from 1 species